UGCGUAGGCGGGCUAAUAAGUCAGUGGUGAAAUCUUCCGGCUCAACCGGGAACCUGCCAUUGAUACUGUUAGUCUUGAGUUCGGCUGAGGUAGGCGGAAUGUGUAAUGUAGCGGUGAAAUGCCUAGAUAUUACACAGAACACCAAUUGCGUAGGCAGCUUACUAGACCGACACUGACGCUGAGGCACGAAAGCGUGGGGAGCGAACAGGAUUAGAUACCCUGGUAGUCC
rnacentral:rRNA from 1 species